UCCUGGCUCAGGAUGAACGCUAGCUACAGGCUAACACAUGCAAGUCGAGGGGCAGCAUUGGGAUAGCUUGCUAUUCAGAUGGCGACCGGCGCACGGGUGAGUAACGCGUAUCCAACCUCCUGCCAGUAGGGAACAGCCCGGCGAAAGUCGGAUUAAUGCCCUAUGUUCUUCAAUGCGGACAUCUAAGUUGAAGGAAAGAUUCAUCGCUGGCAGAUGGGGAUGCGUCCGAUUAGCUUGCCGGCGGGGUAACGGCCCACCGGGGCGACGAUCGGUAGGGGUUCUGAGAGGAAGGUCCCCCACACUGGUACUGAGACACGGACCAGACUCCUACGGGAGGCAGCAGUGAGGAAUAUUGGUCAAUGGGCGUAAGCCUGAACCAGCCAAGUAGCGUGCCAGGAUGACGGCCCUACGGGUUGUAAACUGCUUUUAUGCGGGGAUAAAGUGCGGCACGUGUGCCGCUUUGCAGGUACCGCAUGAAUAGGGACCGGCUAAUUCCGUGCCAGCCGCGGC
rnacentral:rRNA from 1 species